rnacentral:lncRNA from 1 species
UGGAACCAGAUUGAGUUUCAUGCCAAACAGGUGUUUCUCAAGGAGGAAGCAAGACAGCCCACAGAAACCCUUGUAGCCAGCCAGAGCUCCAACAAGCCCUUGAGAGACCCUGAGACUCCCAGAUCUUCAGGUUCUAUGUGCAAUAGAUGGAAGCCAAAUGGCAAGAUACUAGGGAGAUUGUCCCUCACCAUUCUGCAGGAGAACAACUCGUCUGGCACCCUGACACCAUGACAGGUAAAGCAAGAGAAGGGUAAGCAGUCUUCACUAAGUGAAAAUGUUAGUGAACUAAAGGAAGGAGCCAUUCUUGGAACUGGGCAACUUCUGAAAAGUGGAAGACAGCAUGGGAGCAAGGCCAGGACAAUGACAAGGAAAAUCAGCACUUUCCCUUGGUGGAGUGCUAA